rnacentral:rRNA from 1 species
AUUGAACGCUGGCGGCAGGCCUAACACAUGCAAGUCGAACGGAAACAGAAAGAAGCUUCCUUCUUGCCUGACGAGUCGCGCAGGUGUGUGUAAUGUCUGAAAAUCCCCCUUAUGGAGGGGGAUCACUACUGGAAACGGUAGCUAACCCCACAUUCCCUCCCACGACCAAAAGGGGGCCUCUUCGCCCCUCUUGCCUUCGGGUGUUCCCAGGUGGGAUUAGCUUGUUGGUGGGGUAAAGGCUCACCUAGGCGACGAUCCCUAGCUGGUCUGAGAGGAUGAUCAGCCACACUGGAACUGAGACACGGCCCAGACUCCUACGGGAGGCAGCAGUGGGGAAUCUUGGACAAUGGGGGCAAACCUGAUCCAGCCAUGCCGCGUGUAUGAAGAAGGCCUUCGGGUUGUAAAGUACUUUCAGCGGGGAGGAAGGGUGUAACGUUAAAACCUGAACUCAUUGACGUUACCCGCAGAAGAAGCACCGGCUAACUUCGUG